UGCAGUCGAGCGGACAGAAGGGAGCUUGCUCCCGGAUGUUAGCGGCGGACGGGUGAGUAACACGUGGGUAACCUGCCUGUAAGACUGGGAUAACUCCGGGAAACCGGAGCUAAUACCGGAUAGUUCCUUGAACCGCAUGGUUCAAGGAUGAAAGACGGUUUCGGCUGUCACUUACAGAUGGACCCGCGGCGCAUUAGCUAGUUGGUGGGGUAAUGGCUCACCAAGGCGACGAUGCGUAGCCGACCUGAGAGGGUGAUCGGCCACACUGGGACUGAGACACGGCCCAGACUCCUACGGGAGGCAGCAGUAGGGAAUCUUCCGCAAUGGACGAAAGUCUGACGGAGCAACGCCGCGUGAGUGAUGAAGGUUUUCGGAUCGUAAAGCUCUGUUGUUAGGGAAGAACAAGUGCGAGAGUAACUGCUCGCACCUUGACGGUACCUAACCAGAAAGCCACGGCUAACUACGUGCCAGCAGCCGCGGUAAUACGUAGGUGGCAAGCGUUGUCCGGAAUUAUUGGGCGUAAAGGGCUCGCAGGCGGUUUCUUAAGUCUGAUGUGAAAGCCCCCGGCUCAACCGGGGAGGGUCAUUGGAAACUGGGAAACUUGAGUGCAGAAGAGGAGAGUGGAAUUCCACGUGUAGCGGUGAAAUGCGUAGAGAUGUGGAGGAACACCAGUGGCGAAGGCGACUCUCUGGUCUGUAACUGACGCUGAGGAGCGAAAGCGUGGGGAGCGAACAGGAUUAGAUACCCUGGUAGUCCACGCCGUAAACGAUGAGUGCUAAGUGUUAGGGGGUUUCCGCCCCUUAGUGCUGCAGCUAACGCAUUAAGCACUCCGCCUGGGGAGUACGGUCGCAAGACUGAAACUCAAAGGAAUUGACGGGGGCCCGCACAAGCGGUGGAGCAUGUGGUUUAAUUCGAAGCAACGCGAAGAACCUUACCAGGUCUUGACAUCCUCUGACAACCCUAGAGAUAGGGCUUUCCCUUCGGGGACAGAGUGACAGGUGGUGCAUGGUUGUCGUCAGCUCGUGUCGUGAGAUGUUGGGUUAAGUCCCGCAACGAGCGCAACCCUUGAUCUUAGUUGCCAGCAUUCAUUUGGGCACUCUAAGGUGACUGCCGGUGACAAACCGGAAGAAA
rnacentral:rRNA from 1 species